rnacentral:rRNA from 1 species
UUACCGAUCGAGCAGGUAGGAAACUAGAGCAUAGUGAUCCGGUGUUUCCGUAUGGAAGGGACAUCGCUCAAAGGAUAAAAGGUACUCCGGGGAUAACAGGCUGAUCCCUCCCAAGAGCUCAUAUCGACGGAGUGGUUUGGCACCUCGAUGUCGGCUCGUCACAUCCUGGGGCUGGAGAAGGUCCCAAGGGUUGGGCUGUUCGCCCAUUAAAGUGG